rnacentral:rRNA from 1 species
ACGAACGCUGGCGGCGUGCUUAACACAUGCAAGUCGCACGAUGAAGCCUAGCUUGCUAGGUGGAUUAGUGGCGAACGGGUGAGUAAUACGUGAGUAACCUACCUUUAACUCUGGGAUAAGCCCGGGAAACUGGGUCUAAUACCGGAUACGACCAAUCUCCGCAUGGGGUGUUGGUGGAAAGCGUUAUGUAGUGGUUAUAGAUGGGCUCACGGCCUAUCAGCUUGUUGGUGAGGUAACGGCUCACCAAGGCGACGACGGGUAGCCGGCCUGAGAGGGUGACCGGCCACACUGGGACUGAGACACGGCCCAGACUCCUACGGGAGGCAGCAGUGGGGAAUAUUGCACAAUGGGCGCAAGCCUGAUGCAGCGACGCCGCGUGAGGGAUGACGGCCUUCGGGUUGUAAACCUCUGUUAGCAGGGAAGAAGAGAGAUUGACGGUACCUGCAGAGAAAGCGCCGGCUAACUACGUG